CACGUAGGGUGCGAGCGUUGUCCGGAAUUAUUGGGCGUAAAGAGCUCGUAGGCGGUGUGUCGCGUCGGCCGUGAAAACCUGCAGCUUAACUGUGGGCUUGCGGUCGAUACGGGCAUCACUGGAGUUCGGCAGGGGAGACUGGAAUUCCUGGUUUAGCGGUGGAAUGCGCAGAUAUCAGGAGGAACACCAAUGGCGAAGGCAGAUCUCUGGGCCGUAACUGACGCUGAGGAGCGAAAGCAUGGGGAGCGAACAGG
rnacentral:rRNA from 1 species